UACUUUGUUUGGCGAGAGUUUAUUAUCCGCUGUACUACAGUUAUAUGGUGGAACAAUAUUGCCAGCAGCUACUUGAUCUUGUGACAGUUGCCUCGAAAUUUACAGCCACCACUUUUGAUUCGACUGCCCAGGGAGAAGUUGUCUUUUCCUGGCGGCUGGGGGAAGAUCGAUUACUGAAUUUAAGCGAGUACGCCUCCUACCUUUGCCUUCUCAGUAAUCUUCUCGUGAUUCUAAGAAGAACUCUUG